AUUGAACGCUGGCGGCAGGCCUAACACAUGCAAGUCGAGCGGAGCGGCGGACGGGUGAGUAAUGCCUAGGACUCUGCCAGGUAGUGGGGGAUAACGUUCGGACACGGGCGCUAAUACCGCAUACUAUCAGAUUAGCCUAGGUUGGAUUAGCAAGUUGGUGGGGUAAAGGCCUACCAAGGCGACGAUCCGUAGCUGGUCUGAGAGGAUGAUAAGUCACACGGGAACUGAGACACGGUCCAGACUCCUACGGGAGGCAGCAGGGGGGAAUAUUGGACAAUGGGCGAAAGCCUGAUGCAGCCAUGCCGCGUGUGUGAAGAAGGUCUUCGGAUUGUAAAGCACUUUAAGUUGGGAGGCGUUACCAACAGAAUAAGCACCGGCUAACUUCGUGCCAGCAGCCGCGGUAAUUC
rnacentral:rRNA from 1 species